rnacentral:rRNA from 1 species
GAUGAACGCUAGCGGCAGGCUUAACACAUGCAAGUCGAGGGGUAACAGGGGAAAGCUUGCUUUUUUGCUGACGACCGGCGCACGGGUGAGUAACGCGUAUAGAACCUACCUUUUACAGGGGAAUAGCCCAGAGAAAUUUGGAUUAAUACCCUAUAGUAUUAUUGAGUGGCAUCAUUUAAUAAUUAAACAUUUAUGGGUAAAAGAUGGCUAUGCGUUCUAUUAGCUAGAUGGUAAGGUAACGGCUUACCAUGGCAACGAUAGAUAGGGGUCCUGAGAGGGAGAUCCCCCACACUGGUACUGAGACACGGACCAGACUCCUACGGGAGGCAGCAGUGAGGAAUAUUGGACAAUGGAGGCAACUCUGAUCCAGCCAUGCCGCGUGCAGGAAGACGGCCCUAUGGGUUGUAAACUGCUUUUAUACGGGAAGAAACCCAACUACGUGUAGUUGGCUGACGGUACCGUAAGAAUAAGCACCGGCUAACUCCGUGCCAGCAGCCGCGGUAAUACGGAGGGUGCAAGCGUUAUCCGGAAUCAUUGGGUUUAAAGGGUCCGUAGGCGGGCUAAUAAGUCAGGGGUGAAAUCCAACAGCUUAACUGUUGAACUGCCUUUGAUACUGUUAGUCUUGAAUUAUAUGGAAGUAGAUAGAAUGUGUAGUGUAGCGGUGAAAUGCUUAGAGAUUACACAGAAUACCGAUUGCGAAGGCAGUCUACUACGUAUAUAUG